GAUGAACGCUGGCGGCGUGCCUAAUACAUGCAAGUCGAGCGAAUGGACGAGAAGCUUGCUUCUCUGAUGUUAGCGGCGGACGGGUGAGUAACACGUGGAUAACCUACCUAUAAGACUGGGAUAACUUCGGGAAACCGUAGCUAAUACCGGAUAAUAUUUUGAACCGCAUGGUUCAAAAGUGAAAGACGGUCUUGCUGUCACUUAUAGAUGGAUCCGCGCUGCAUUAGCUAGUUGGUAAGGUAACGGCUUACCAAGGCAACGAUGCAUAGCCGACCUGAGAGGGUGAUCGGCCACACUGGAACUGAGACACGGUCCAGACUCCUACGGGAGGCAGCAGUAGGGAAUCCUCCGCAAUGGGCGAAAGCCUGACGGAGCAACGCCGCGUGAGUGAUGAAGGUCUUCGGAUCGUAAAACUCUGUUAUUAGGGAAGAACAUAUGUGUAAGUAACUGUGCACAUCUUGACGGUACCUAAUCAGAAAGCCACGGCUAACUACGUG
rnacentral:rRNA from 1 species